AUCUUCAAGAACUGCUUUUGGAUGAAGUUUUCGCUUCUCCUUGCUUCUUUCUCGCGUUGUUCCUCUUGAGUUUUGUUACCUUUCGGCUGGAAAUGGACCACUUGCCGCCGGUGUGGCAGUGGUUGGAGCAUGACCAUGUUGAUGAUGAGCUGUCAUUCCAAGAGGUUUUCUAGAUAGAAAUUCCUUUUCAGGGAGAAUAGAGGAACGGAACCUUUUGACGUAUUCUUUAUGGCAGGAGGGUUUCAUGCCUAUAAUCCCAGCACUUGGAAGACGGAGAUAAAAGGGUCGCGGUGAAUUUGAGGACAGCCUGCACUACAGAAAACUACUUCCCCAGAACGGAGGUGUGUGAAAUGUCUUUGUCCCCUAGGAUAGAGGUGGUAAGUGUGGGAGUCACCACCGAGCCUUGUCAGACCAGGUGGGAAGCUGAGACCGAUGAAGUGGUCCUGCAGCGGUGGCAGAAGCAGAUAGAUUAUGGCAAGUGCAUACCUGGGUACUAGAACUUUCUGCAGCAGGUCCCCAGGUGAGUGCAGUUGUAGGCAGGCACAAGGAUGCCAACCAAAUGGCUGUAGCUCCUUGUCAGGUGCUGGAAGAUAACUGGAAAGUGGGUGCAGAGGGACUGGUUCUCCUGCCGUCUAGUCCCCAAUACAUUUGAGAUUUCUCUCAAGUAGAAGCGUACUUUCCCAGACGGCUUUCAGGGCUUGCCAUGUCCCCCUCCCCCUUCUUUUUAAUCAUUUAAUGUGUGUGUUGGGGGAGUGCAGAUGUGCUUGUGGAAGUCAGACGGAUCUUUACUUCCAGGACAGGCUCUUCUGGGGAUCAAACUUGCUCAUCUGGCCCUCCUAUCCUAGCUAGUGGUUUUUAACCUCCGAAGUCAUCUUGCUGUCCCCCACAUUCCUUUUCUUAUUAAUUUUCUUUGUUACUGUACAAUGGAAUGGUCUCAUUGGGAUGACUUCAUUAUAUGAAAGUAUUUCACUAUUAUUUGUUCAUUUAACUUUUUAAAGCUUUUAUUAUGCGUUUAUGUUUUCCCUGCAUGUAUGUCUAUACACCACACGAAUGCUGUGGAGGCCAGAAGAGGAUAUCAGAUUCCCUGGGACUGGAACUGCAGAAAGUUGUGAGCUACCAUGUGGGUGCUGGGAAUCAAAUCCAGGUCCUCUGAGCUGUCUCAGCCCCCCUCUUCUAUUUUCCAUAUGUUCCAAUAUUCUCUUAUUCUCUCCUCUCUGCUCCCUUCAGACCUUUCACCUCAUGUCUCUGUCUCUGUCUCUGUCUCUCUGUCUCUGUCUCUCUCUCUCUCACACACACACACACACAAACGAAAUGUAUCAAAAGUUGGAUAUCAUCUUUACUCAAGGGCCAGUGUAAGUUUCUGUAUCAUUACAAUUCCCGUCAAAGUGAGCAUUACAAGUGAAAAUUAUUCCCCACCCCUUCCCUCCCUCUCCCUCCGUGUCUCUCAGACAGUCUCAUGUAGCCUCAGCUGGCCUCAAACUCUCUAUGUAGUUAAGAAUGACAUUGAACUUGCCUCCACCUCUGAGGGCUAACAUUUCAGGAUGUGCCACCAGGCCUGGCUUCACUAAAUUCGCUGGAUUGGAGCAUCAUCCUGUCCUUGGGUAAUCCUGUCUAGGCUUCUGAUUUACUGUGAUAAGCAAUGAGCAGUGUUCCUUUCCUUUGACUUCAAUCUGACCCAUAUUUGUCAUUGUCAGGGCACAGCGACAGCCGGGUUUUCACCCUCAAACACUAAACAAAAACAGGAGAUACAGCCGCAGAUCCUGGGAUGCCCAAAUCAGGCAAUGGAGAAGAGCCCUGCAUACCUGGGACCCCCCCCAAGCCAUCCUCUCCAUGACAGACAGGCUGAGGAGUGUGUUCACUAAUCUGGCUCCUAUGAGUGGUGUGGUUUAAGUCCUACUUUGUCCACUGCAAAGAUUUGGGUUGUAUAAUUGGGGGUGGGGGGUGGUAUCUGCAUGAGUGUAUGUUCUCUCAUUCUGCUGCCCCUCUAGGAAGGCAACAAAGCACUUCCUAAGGCCAUUGGCUUCUACUCCUUAAGAUGAUCUCCUGGUAGCUGGCCCCAGGACUCAGAAUCCUCAGAGAAUUGGAACAGAGGUGAGAAAGAGGCCCAGGUAGUGUCCUCUGCUGAAACCACUGGCUCAGGAAAAUAGAUGGGGUUUGACCUGUGAGAGCAUAAAUAAGGCAUAGUCCAAAGGAGACGGGGCUAGAGCUAUACGGCCUCCCUGGGUCUGAUCUCUCUUCACGAGAGAUGAAGGAACUGGGCAUGGUGGUGCAAAAUCCUGUGGGCUCUGGGAAGGUGAAAGUAAGAGGAACAGGAGUUUUAUUUAUGUUAAAUAACAUAAAGCUAAUUUUUAUAAAAC
ensembl:lincRNA RIKEN cDNA 2010110K18 gene